rnacentral:rRNA from 1 species
AGUAAGGAAUAUUGGUCAAUGGACGCAAGUCUGAACCAGCCAUGCCGCGUGGAGGAUGAAGGUCCUCUGGAUUGUAAACUUCUUUUAUCUGGGACGAAACACUUCUUUUCUAAGAGGCCUGACGGUACCAGAUGAAUAAGCACCGGCUAACUCCGUGCCAGCAGCCGCGGUAAUACGGAGGGUGCAAGCGUUAUCCGGAUUCACUGGGUUUAAAGGGUGCGUAGGUGGGUAUGUAAGUCAGAGGUGAAAUCCCCGAGCUUAACUUGGGAACUGCCUUUGAUACUAUAUAUCUUGAAUGCCGUAGAGGUAAGCGGAAUAUGUCAUGUAGCGGUGAAAUGCUUAGAUAUGACAUGGAACACCAAUUGCGAAGGCAGCUUACUAUGCGGAAAUUGACACUGAGGCACGAAAGCGUGGGUAGCAAA